rnacentral:rRNA from 1 species
GACGAACGCUGGCGGCGUGCUUAACACAUGCAAGUCGAACGGAAAGGCCCUGCUUUUGUGGGGUGCUCGAGUGGCGAACGGGUGAGUAACACGUGAGUAACCAGCCCUUGACUUUGGGAUAACUUCAGGAAACUGGGGCUAAUACCGGAUAGGAGCUCCUGCUGCAUGGUGGGGGUUGGAAAGUUUCGGCGGUUGGGGAUGGACUCGCGGCUUAUCAGCUUGUUGGUGGGGUAGUGGCUUACCAAGGCUUUGACGGGUAGCCGGCCUGAGAGGGUGACCGGCCACAUUGGGACUGAGAUACGGCCCAGACUCCUACGGGAGGCAGCAGUGGGGAAUAUUGCACAAUGGGCGGAAGCCUGAUGCAGCAACGCCGCGUGCGGGAUGACGGCCUUCGGGUUGUAAACCGCUUUCGCCUGUGACGAAGCGUGAGUGACGGUAAUGGGUAAAGAAGCACCGGCUAACUACGU